GUCUUAACUUCCUAAACACGACGGAUUCAAACUCUUGAAUCUGUCAGCAGAUGCUGCUCUACUCAAAAGUAUAGUCCAGACCUUCGUGAUGUUGGACCUGGUGAAGAAAGUCCUUGCCAGUCACAAAAGCCAGAUGGACCGCUGUAGGGAGAAGUGCACACGCAGCAUACCCGAGAGCAACAGUGUAACGAGCAUCGCAAACGUACCAAAGAGCUGAAGAGCAAAUCACAGCACCUCAACACCGUCCUGAUGACCUUGACCCCCGUGACCUCGCCUCCCACUCUCAAACGCCCGUCUGAACCGUGCCGUCUCGUGAGAACGGUCAGCGGUGUCAGUAUUGUAAACACUGCCACUGAGGAGACUGUUGAGCCACACAGAACAGAGAGAUGACCAGAAGGAGUGAAAUUGAUGUCAAUGUGUCGUAUAAUUUGUUUAUAGAUGAUGAACUCUUUUUGCAUUUUUAUGAUUCAUUUAAGAAGUUUUUGCUGAAACAGCCAUGGUGUUGUUAUGAGUGUCAGUUGUUGCAUCGCAUUUGAUUUAAUUGUAAUCACACUAAAAUUUUAGUUAAAUAUAGGCUGAUAUAUUUAAAGAAAUAAUUCACCCAAAAGUUAAUCAUCAUCAUCUCCUCACCCUCAAGUUGUUCCAAACCUGUGUGUGUUUCUUUCGUCUGUUGUGCAUCAAAGAAGAUUUUUUGAAGAAUAUUAGUAACCAAUGAGUUUUUUUAGGUAGCGUUUACUUCCAUAGUAUUUAAUUUUUUUUCUUAAUAUUGUUGAAGUCAGUGGCUACUGUUAACCGUUUGUUUACCAACAUUUAAAAAUAUAUAUUCUUUGUUUACCUGAAGAAAGAAAUGUAUUCAUUUGGAACAAGUUGAGGGUGAGAUUUUUCAUUUUCAUUUUGGGUGAACUGUCCCUUUAAGGUGUUUUUUGUUUUUGUUUGUUUGCCUGUUUAUUUAUUAAGGCAUAUUUUGUCCUUAAAAUUUCAUGGUUGAGCAGUGUGUGUGUGUGAUUGUAGUUAUACUGUUUUUUUUUUUUUUAGAUAUAAUGCUAACUCCAUUAUUCAUACUGUCAACAUAACACAUUUUCUGUAUUAGUCUUUUUCCCAUAUUUAUGUCUUUCAUUGUAGUAGCUAUUUCUGAAAAUGCUUGUUACAAAAAAUAUGUAAUCUGUACUUGACGUAACUGAUUAUUUACAACACAUUCACUUGGACCAUAACUGUAUUGUCUUUCAAAAUAAAAGCGAAAUUAGA